UGCUCUAUGUCUUUGUUGAACUAUCCAAAAUUUGGUUUUGGGCUGUUUAGAAUUUAUUGUUCACAAAUCUGUCUUGUGCAAGUUUCUCUCUGUUUAUGUUUUAGGUUGAAGAUGGCCCAGAGAGGUUAGCCUUACAGUUGCUGAUCUAGAAGCAUUAGGCAAGAGUGUCUGAGAACGAUGGUGUGAUCUGCAACACUGUCUUUUUUUAUUACUGAUUUAUUACUGACUAUCUAUUUCUUUCUUUGUUGUUAUUCAACAAGAGAGAACUCCCAUUAAUGGGAAUCAAAAGGAAACCCUGAAAUCAUGUUUUAAGGAUGGAAUGACAUGAGUUGGUUCAGAAUUAUUACCAAGAGCUGCAUCAACUACUGGUUUGGACACCAGUGUCGUAGAAAUAAGAACUGGAUUGGUGAUCACAAAUGACUAAUGCUUCGUCUGAGCCCCGUCCAUCAAAAGCCAAAGUUCACAUUAGAGAGCUGUGCCUUACAAUCUUUUUUGUAGGGACAUAUUCAAAAACAAAGGCACAAUGAAUGAUAUUAAGGGCAGGUGCGCCACAUUGGGGGAAGAUGCAAAGCAGAAAUACAUUCAAGAGGCAGCAGCACUGAGGGCACAUGGGCAGGCGCAGGACCUAAACCCUGAGAUGGAGGCAAUUUGUGCUGUGUCUGCCACGUCCAUGAUGAUGAUAAGAAAUAUAGGACUUAUGUGGGGACCAAUAAAGUUAUAUUGUACUGAAUUGAGUCUACAU